GACGAACGCUGGCGGCGUGCUUAACACAUGCAAGUCGAACGGAAAGGCCCUGCUUUUGUGGGGUGCUCGAGUGGCGAACGGGUGAGUAACACGUGAGUAACCUGCCCUUGACUUUGGGAUAACUUCAGGAAACUGGGGCUAAUACCGGAUAGGAGCUCCUGCUGCAUGGUGGGGGUUGGAAAGUUUCGGCGGUUGGGGAUGGACUCGCGGCUUAUCAGCUUGUUGGUGGGGUAGUGGCUUACCAAGGCUUUGACGGGUAGCCGGCCUGUGAGGGUGACCGGCCAAAUUGGGAAUGAGAUAAGGCCCAGACUCCUACGGGAGGCAGCAGUGGGGAAUAUUGCACAAUGGGCGGAAGCCUGAUGCAGCAACGCCGCGUGCGGGAUGACGGCCUUCGGGUUGUAAACCGCUUUCGCCUGUGACGAAGCGUGAGUGACGGUAAUGGGUAAAGAAGCACCGGCUAACUACGUG
rnacentral:rRNA from 1 species